UGGGGAAUUUUGCGCAAUGGGCGAAAGCCUGACGCAGCAACGCCGCGUGGAGGAUGAAGGUCCUUGGAUUGUAAACUCCUGUCAGCAGGGAAAAAGCGACCUGACCUCAUACGUCAGGGAGUUGAUUGUACCUGCAGAGGAAGCCCCGGCUAACUCUGUGCCAGCAGCCGCGGUAAUACAGAGGGGGCAAGCGUUAUUCGGAAUUAUUGGGCGUAAAGGGCGCGUAGGCGGCCAGGCAAGUGGAAGGUGAAAUCCCUCGGCUUAACCGAGGAACUGCCCUCCAAACUGCUUGGCUUGAGACCGGGAGAGGUGAGUGGAAUUCCCAGUGUAGCGGUGAAAUGCGUAGAUAUUGGGAGGAACACCAGUGGCGAAGGCGGCUCACUGGACCGGUACUGACGCUGAGGCGCGAAAGCGUGGGGAGCAAACGG
rnacentral:rRNA from 1 species